GACGAACGCUGGCGGCGUGCUUAACACAUGCAAGUCUAACGGAAAGGCCUCUUUCGGGGGGUACUCGAGUGGCGAACGGGUGAGUAACACGUGAGUAACCUGCCCUUGACUUUGGGAUAACUUCAGGAAACUGGUGCUAAUACCGUAUAGGAGCUCCUGCUGCAUGGUGGGGGUUGGAAAGUUUCGGCGGUUGGGGAUGGACUCGCGGCUUAUCAGCUUGUUGGUGGGGUAGUGGCUUACCAAGGCUUUGACGGGUAGCCGGCCUGAGAGGGUGACCGGCCACAUUGGGACUGAGAUACGGCCCAGACUACUACGGGAGGCAGCAGGGGGGAAUAUUGCACAAUGGGUGGAAGACUGAUGCAGCAACGCCGUGUGCGGGAUGACGGCCUUCGGGUUGUAAACCGCUUUCGCUCAUGACGAAGCUUUGUGUGACGGUAGUGGGUAAAGAAACACCGGCUAACUACGUG
rnacentral:rRNA from 1 species